AAGACUACACUUUUAGGGAUCAUUUCUAUAGUUUGCUUAUAGA
rnacentral:snRNA from 1 species